rnacentral:misc_RNA from 1 species
GAUGAAGAACGUAGCGAAAUGCGAUAAGUAAUGUGAAUUGCAGAAUUCAGUGAAUCAUCGAAUCUUUGAACGCACAUUGCGCCCGCCAGUAUUCUGGCGGGCAUGCCUGUUCGAGCGUCAUUUCAACCAUCAAGCCCCCGGCUUGUGUUGGGGACCUGCGGCUGCCGCAGGCCCUGAAAAGCAGUGGCGGGCUCGCUGUCACACCGAGCGUAGUAGCAUACAUCUCGCUCUGGGCGUGCUGCGGGUUCCGGCCGUUAAACCACCUUCAUAACCCAAGGUUGACCUCGGAUCAGGUAGGAAGACCCGCUGAACUUAAGCAUAUCUAAGCGGAGGA